AUUGAACGCUGGCGGCAGGCUUAACACAUGCAAGUCGAGCGGAGAUGAGGUGCUUGCACCUUAUCUUAGCGGCGGACGGGUGAGUAAUGCUUAGGAAUCUGCCUAUUAGUGGGGGACAACAUUCCGAAAGGAAUGCUAAUACCGCAUACGUCCUACGGGAGAAAGCAGGGGAUCUUCGGACCUUGCGCUAAUAGAUGAGCCUAAGUCGGAUUAGCUAGUUGGUGGGGUAAAGGCCUACCAAGGCGACGAUCUGUAGCGGGUCUGAGAGGAUGAUCCGCCACACUGGGACUGAGACACGGCCCAGACUCCUACGGGAGGCAGCAGUGGGGAAUAUUGGACAAUGGGGGGAACCCUGAUCCAGCCAUGCCGCGUGUGUGAAGAAGGCCUUAUGGUUGUAAAGCACUUUAAGCGAGGAGGAGGCUACUGAGACUAAUACUCUUGGAUAGUGGACGUUACUCGCAGAAUAAGCACCGGCUACUCUGUGCCAGCCGCCGCCGCAG
rnacentral:rRNA from 1 species